UGUGCUUCUGCCAUAGAAGUUUUGCAAUUACAACUAACAGUAAAACUAGUAAACCACCACCGACGCUCACACUCAGGAUUCGUCCUAUUCGGAUUUCAACAGGACGGACUCUAAUUAUUAUGAAAAGCGAACCAUCACCAUCACACAAGCAAAAUCAGGCACGUUAAUCGAAGUGUUAAGAAGGACAGGAUUUGGAAAAAAAAAGUACACACCAAACGGUAUUGAAUGAAGCAAGAAUAUUGUUAGUUUGUAAGUAUCAUGAAGAAAUAUGUUUAUUUUUGUUUAAGCAAUGUCAGUUUGAAGGAAUCUCUCUUCAUAGUUUCAUCCGGUACUACAGAAAAUUGAACCGCUAUUGAAUAGCACAAAAUCUGAAACUGAGAAUGUC